AGAUGGAACAAGGAUGUAAAAAAAGAGAAGUGGAUCAAGUAGUACAUGCAAGGAAAAGAACAAAGUGCAAUCAACUUCAGCAUGUUGAAGCAUUUCUGAAGCUCACAUCUAAAAUAUCUGAUAAUUGCAAGAAACAUAUACACAGAAUGGGUUUCAGGUCAUUCCUACAAAUAACUAGCAUGUCCAAUAUAUACUCUAUUUACCUCUAGCUUGCAAAUCAUUUCAACACAACUUCGUGCUCUAUUGAAACACAAAAUGGCUUCAAAUUCCGAAUUACACCUACAACUAUUCACAAAUUUUUUGGCAUUCCAAUUGGUGGACAUCUUGUAAUCACAAAACCAUCAGAAGCAACCUAUGAGUUCAUUCAACAAGAUUUAGGAACAAGAGUACCAACAAUUGAAUACCUUUCCUCAAUUAUCAAUGAUGAUAUCCCCGAAGAAAAAUACUGCAGAAUCUUCAUUCUCAUACUCCUGUCAUUGUUUGUUGCCCCUAAUUCAAGUGGAGUUUCUAGCAAGUUUGUGUAUAGUGCAAUAGUUGACAUUGACAGAAUUUCUCAGUAUGAUUGGUGUCUGCUAUGUCUGAGCUACAUGGUUUGUUCAAUAAAGAAAACAAGGCUGAAGAACACAGUGAGCAAAGAAAUCAUUCCUAGUGGAAGCAAGUUACUUAUGGUGAUAUCCUACUUUGAAUUCCUGAUAAUAACUGAAAUCAAGAUGCCGACUAGAAACAAGACUACCAUUAUGAUAAAACACAUGUCCUCAACUCCAUUCAUUGAUUGAAAUUACAUCUGCCUGAAGAAAUUGCGGAGUACAUUGAAUCCAAAUUCUCAGAUAUUAGUCUAACACAAAUCUUGUUGAGCCUAAACUAAAUAAAGGUAGGUUGCUUCCUGAAAUCACAUAUCCAGUUGACAAGUCUCUCAACAGUACACCGCAUGGCAAUUCAAAUGGAGAAGCUGG